GUGUGUGUUCUUGAAUAUAUGGUUUAUGAGGACAAAAUGUCAGGUUACUCACCAGCUUUACAAGGACACUUGGUUUAUAAGGACAAUGCAGUGUCCUCGUAAUUCUGGGAACGAUUAUGUUGUUUUCUGACUCAAAAUAAUGCCCCCUAUUAAGUUUUUACAUUUAAAAAAAAAUUACCUUACAUACCACAAUGUGUAUGUGUAUGAAUUUGAAGCAUGUCCCCUUUAACCACAAUGUGCCAUUUUACAACAAUACAAUCUCGCAGGAAAUUUUACAACAAUUCGCGGGAAAUUGAAAAAAAUUAUGUUUUGAAGUGUAUUAUUUACAAUUAAAUUUGGAUGAAUAAAUAUUAAAAAUACAAAUUUAAUAUUAACUGAUGAUAUUUUAGAUUUCGCUGCAUAAUACAGCGUGUCUGCCGUAGCCUAACGUUACAUGAGGUUCUGUCUAAUUGGUCAGUUUUGAAAACUCCGUUCGUCGGGCUGGACCAUUUUCUCCUACACAAGAUAUUUUAAAAUUAAAGAGUCAAAUUUAAAAAAGAAUAAAACUAUAAAUUAUAAGUGAUUACAGGUUGCGUGCUUUUUUCCUCAUUGUGAUUGACAACACUACCGACCAAUGAAAAUGCGGAGGAUGGUUGUUCUGGAAUGUCAAUCAUCUAUUCCCCGCGAAGAUAUUCAGACUGCGUCAGCGAAGUACGAAUGAACACCAGAGAGAGCUCCAGAGGCAGGGGGCUUACCCCUCUUCAGGAUGCUGAAAGACAUAUUCAUCUAGGAAGAGAUAAAGACAGUUUUUUCAAAAUAUAUUGAUGAAACUAAAGGACGUGGUGUUUUUGCAAAAUAUUUCAUUGGGAAGGGAUCCUUCAUAAUCGAGUACCACGGAGCUCUGCGUGACGAAAACAAGUUUAAUAAAAUCUCAAAUCCAUACACAUAUUAUUUUAAACAUAAUGGAAAAGAUUAUUGCAUCGAUGCAUCACAUGAUGAUGGUUCACUGGGUAGACUAGUAAAUGAUGACAAGAAACCUAAUGCGAAAAUGUUGAAAAUAGAGGUGAAUGGCAAUCCACACCUCUGUUUGUUUGCAAUUAAAAAUAUUUCUGAAGGCCAAGAGAUAACCUAGGAUUAUGGAGGAGCUGACCUUCCUUGGCGUGUCAACAAAAGAACACAUUCAAAGAAUGUAACGCUAGAAGCCAAUGACGAAACAAACAGUGCUCAACGGCAAAGUGACCUGGACGACCAGGAAAUGGAGGCAUC